UCAGUGAUGCGCAGUAGAACUUCUCG
rnacentral:piRNA from 1 species